AGCGAUCUGACCUCUCUGUACCCACAUCGUCUUCCUCCCCUUGCCAUACUCUGUACCAGGCCGUCCAGCUGCGCGCUAGGGUUCGGGAAGUCUGCUCCGUCGCCUCUCUCGCCCCCUCUCCUGGACUUUCUCCGACUUCUAUCUUGGACCUAGUUCCGGCGCCGUUGAAGGACGAGCUCCCCUCCUCUCCUCUGAGUCGCGCCCGACGAAGACGCCAUUGCCGCCGGCGAGCACGUAAAUGUAGAGGAGUUGUGCUGUAGCUCCUGGGGGCGAAGAGGAACUGCCCAAAGGAGUCAGCUAUCUUCUGCGCCUCGAGGAUUUUAGGUCAGCCAUGGAGUCCAUGACAAGUGGUGCUCUAAGUAUUGGGUCAACUACGGCAAUGGGAGUUGAAGAUGAUGCCAACAGCUUUGCCAUGGGCACGAUCCAGCAGGUCGAAAACAAUGAAAAUAGCUACCACACGCCAACACGAACUAACAGUCUUCCGUUUUGUGGGUCAAGAUAUGAGCCGGAGUGUGAUCCUAACUUACAGCCCGUAAUUGGUAUGCAAUUUGACACUUGGGAGGAAGGUAUGACAUUCUACAAAAUGUAUGCUCAUGAAGUCGGGUUCUCGGUUCGCACAUGGACGACACACAAAGAUGCACAUGGCAUACUGUGGAAGAGGUUUGUUUGUGCUAGGGAGGGUUGGAGAAAGGAGGCCCCAGAAGAGGAAAGGAUAAAACCUAAACGAAAAUUCAAGUUAACCAGGUGUGGUUGUGAGGCUAUGAUUGGACUGAGGAGGCAGGAUGAUGGCAAAUAUAAGGUUGCCCGGUUUGUUCAAUCACACAUUCACCAACUUAUUUCGCCAAGUAAGAGACAUCUCAUCAAGUCAAAUAGGGAAGUAAGUAGUGAGUUGAGGAGCAAACUACUUACAUGUCAUAAAGCAAUGGUUGGCACAUCUGCAGCAUAUCGCUUGCUUAGUGUAGAGACGGGGGGUCCGGAAAAUGUGGGCUGCACGUCAGCUUAGUGUAAUGAAAUUCCUAGUCAAUAUGUGUUGCAUAGGUGGACUAAAAUGGCAGCACGUCAGCUUUCCUAUGACGCCAACGGACAUGAGCUAGAAGGCCCAUCUACAUGUCUUUCACCUACCAUAAAAAAGUUGUACUCGGAAACAUGUUCAAAAUUUAGCUUGGCACUUCAUGCAGCGAAACAUUGUGAGGAGAAAAUGAGAUAUUUUCACAAGGUUGUUGGUGAUGCCUUCACGCAAUUGGAACAGAUGGGUGCCAUUAGUGAGCAAAGUAAAGUUCAAGAAUUUGAAUCCUUCGUCGAAACAUCAUUCCCAAGUGUGAUCAGUAUUCAUCCACCAGAUGUAGCAAACACAAAAGGGAGUGGUAAGAGAUUGAAAAGGGGUUCAGAGCAAACAGUGAACCAAAAGAAGAAGAGGGCAAAUAGCAUCCAAAAGGUUCCUGAUAAGUAGGGGCGGUGGUUUCACUAAUUUGAUGUUGGAAUAAUUAUGUGAAGUCAUUCAGCUGGCUACAUUCUUGCUGGAAAUGGCAGUGAUAUUCAUAGGCGAUGAGGUUUUCGACUUUUGGUGCUUCCAGGAGCUCACAUUUUGCAAAUGUGUCACUGAAGCAUGCAUAUGUUCUAUGUCUGUAACUCUGGAUGUGGUCACUGUUAGCUUCAGGAAGUCGCUAACAGUAAACCAUGUUGUCCCAUUAGCCAUGUUUAACCAGGAAGAAAAGAUUGUAUGACCGGGCAACGAAUUGCUAAGCCUAGCUUAAUGUAGGUUUUAAGAUUUGGUUUGUCUUUCUGUGUUAUUGUCGCAGCUGUAGCCAGCUUGCUAUAUGUCGUGCUCAUGUGAACACUUUCCGAAUUAGGGCAACCUUAUUACUAUGUGUAUUGAGCACCGUUCAUUUAUUUUCCUCUGUUUUU